AGUGAACGCUGGCGGUAGGCCUAACACAUGCAAGUCGAACGGCAGCACAGUAAGAGCUUGCCCUUACGGGUGGCGAGUGGCGGACGGGUGAGGAAUACAUCGGAAUCUACUUUUUCGUGGGGGAUAACGUAGGGAAACUUACGCUAAUACCGCAUACGACCUACGGGCGAAAGCAGGGGAUCUUAGGACCUUGCGCGAUUGAAUGAGCCGAUGCCGGAUUAGCUAGUUGGCGGGGUAAAGGCCCACCAAGGCGACGAUCCGUAGCUGGUCUGAGAGGAUGAUCGGCCACACUGGGACUGAGACACGGUCCAGACUCCUACGGGAGGCAGCAGUGGGGAAUAUUGGACAAUGGGCGCAAGCCUGAUCCAGCCAUGCCGCGUGGGUGAAGAAGGCCUUCGGUCUGUAAAGCCCUUUUGUUGGGAAAGAAAAGCAGCAUGUUAAUACCCCGCUGUUCUGACGGUACCCAAAGAAUAAGCACCGGCUAACUUCGUG
rnacentral:rRNA from 1 species